rnacentral:rRNA from 1 species
UACGUAGGGGGCAAGCGUUUGGUCCGGAUUUAUUGGGGCGUAAAGAGCGUGUAGGCGGUUUGGUAGGUCCGUUGUGAAAACUCGAGGCUCAACCUCGAGACGCCGAUGGAAACCAUCAGACUAGAGUCCGGAAGAGGAGAGUGGAAUUCCUGGUGUGAGCGGUGAAAUGCGCAGAAUAUCAGGAAGAACACCCGUGGCUAAGGCAGGCUCCUCUAGUACGGUACUGACGCUGAG